rnacentral:miRNA from 2 species
AAUACUGUGCUUGAGAGUGCGC